rnacentral:rRNA from 1 species
AGAGUUUGAUCCUGGCUCAGAUUGAACGCUGGCGGCGUGCCUAACACAUGCAAGUCGAGCGGUAACAGGUGUAGCAAUACAUGCUGACGAGCGGCGAACGGGUGAGUAAUGCUUUGGAAUCUUCCCAGUAGUGGGGAAUAACCAGUCGAAAGAUUGGCUAAUACCGCAUACGUCUGUAAAGGGAAAGCGGGGGCUCGUAAGACCUCGCGCUAUUGGAUGAGCCAAAGUCGGAUUAGCUAGUUGGUGGGGUAAUGGCCUACCAAGGCGACAAUCCGUAGCUGGUCUGAGAGGACGACCAGCCACACCGGAACUGAGACACGGUCCGGACUCCUACGGGAGGCAGCAGUGGGGAAUAUUGGACAAUGGGGGAAACCCUGAUCCAGCGACGCCGCGUGUGUGAAGAAGGCCUGCGGGUUGUAAAGCACUUU